UACGUAGGGGGCUAGCGUUGUCCGGAAUCAUUGGGCGUAAAGAGCUCGUAGGUGGUUUGGUAAGUCGGAUGUGAAAUCUCCAGGCUCAACCUGGAGGGGUCAUUCGAUACUGCCAUGACUAGAGGUCGGUAGGGGAGUGUGGAAUUCCUGGUGGAGCGGUGAAAUGCGCAGAUAUCAGGAGGAACACCCGUAGCGAAGGCGGCACUCUGGGCCGAUUCUAACACUGAGGAGCGAAAGCGUGGGGAGCGAACAGG
rnacentral:rRNA from 1 species